GACGAACGCUGGCGGCGUGCUUAACACAUGCAAGUCGUACGGUAAGGCCCUUUCGGGGGUACACGAGUGGCGAACGGGUGAGUAACACGUGAGUAACCUGCCCACAACUUUGGGAUAACGCUAGGAAACUGGUGCUAAUACUGGAUAUGUGCUCCUGCUGCAUGGUGGGGGUUGGAAAGCUCCGGCGGUUGUGGAUGGACUCGCGGCCUAUCAGCUUGUUGGUGGGGUAGUGGCCUACCAAGGCGGCGACGGGUAGCCGGCCUGAGAGGGUGACCGGCCACAGUGGGACUGAGAUACGGCCCAGACUCCUACGGGAGGCAGCAGUGGGGAAUAUUGCACAAUGGGCGCAAGCCGGAUGCAGCAACGCCGCGUGCGGGAUGACGGCCUUCGGGUUGGAAACCGCUUUCAGCAGGGACGAAGCUUUUUGUGACGGUACCUGCAGAAGAAGCACCGGCUAACUACGUG
rnacentral:rRNA from 1 species